GAUCAUGGCUCAGGAUGAACGCUAGCUACAGGCUUAACACAUGCAAGUCGAGGGGCAGCAUCAUCAAAGCUUGCUUUGAUGGAUGGCGACCGGCGCACGGGUGAGUAACACGUAUCCAACCUGCCGACAACUCUGGGAUAGCCUUUCGAAAGAAAGAUUAAUACCGGAUGGCAUAGUCUUCCCGCAUGGGAUGAUUAUUAAAGAAUUUCGGUUGUCGAUGGGGAGUGCGUU
rnacentral:rRNA from 1 species